GGAGGGAGGACUGGAUGGGCGCUUAAGCAGCCAUCUCCCCGCUCAGAACACAAUAGAAGCUCCGGCCUUUGAAGUACUGUAUUUCCAUAAAUGCCGUGUUUAAACGGAAGUUCGCCUUUGUUUGCAGAUAAAACGUAGGUGAUUCAACUGAGACUGCUGUGGAAGGUGCCCAUCAGUUAUUUUAGAGGCGAUGGUAUCACAGCAGGGGGCAGCACCCAGGUUGACCCUGGCUGGCUGGAAGCUGAAUAGGGAUGCAUGGAGAAAACCUGCAGGAAAUUCCACUGCGGUAAUGUGCAUUUGACCUCUUUUUUGUUUUACCACUUGCACACUUCUUAAAAACUCAGUCCUGCUAUUGCUCAACUUACUUUUACAUUUCUCUUAACCCACUCACUUCCUACUAUAUAACAGAGCAGACCUAUGUAUGUUGCUCACUCCCUGCCCAGCCUAAUAUCAUUCUGCACCUCCUGAAUUUUGCUCACUGAUUCUUUUUGUAUUCUUUCAGUCAGAAGCCUGCCAAACACUAUUCCAAGUACAUGUAACAAAUGAAUCCACCUGUAGUUUUUGCACUCAUCUCCUUUGUAUAGAGGAACAACCUUGGUCUUCCUUCUGAUAUCAUGCCACAUUGCCACAAGUUCAACAAGCUGUGUUUUACUUCAUGUUGUUCAAUGCAAGCUAAGAUUUCUUAUGCAGAAGCUAUCUUACAAGCCAGUGUACUGUUGCCCUUAUUCUGCCACCUAAUAUGUACACACAACUGUUGUUGGACACAGAUACUACAGUCGAGAAUGAGUGGGUACUGAAUGAAUGUGGACUGAGCACAGGCAUGAGUGACCUGUAGAAGAGAGGCUGGUUGAUAUGCAUUAGUUGUCCAGAGAAAAUGAAGAGGAUUAAAUUGCAAAAUAGUUAUCUGAAUGAAGAGUGCACAGAUCAAGAAAAAGGGGAAUGACUAGAAAAUCAUGGUUGGACAGAGUUGGAAAGUAAGAAAGAUACAUGAACAGUUUGGUGUGAAGGAGGCCCUUUCUGAGGGAGAUGGGCAGUUUAGAAUAUGAAAUAUAAGUAAAUACAAUAAGUUGUAGCCAUAUUUCCUUUUCUGUGAAUUGCUACCUUUAAUUUCUUAUUUCUUUCUGCAUUUUGCAUAAUACUUACUCUAAAAAAAGAACCUUCUGAUGAAUAUCUCUGCAUCUCUUUUUUCCGCGAAUGUCAUUCUAUGAAUAUACACCUUGUGAAGAAAUGCUCCUUUUAAUCAGUUCUGAAUCAUGCACCAUUUAGCUUCAUUGGAUGACCCCAAGACCUAGUAUUUUGAAAGAGUAAGAAGUCUGCUACAUGUUCCAGCAACCAGAUACACCAAUAAGUGGGGAUUAACACCAAACAAUGAAGCAGAACACAAUUGCAUAAUCGAGGACCUAUUAAGGAGGGAAGUUGAACUGUAUAUAAACAAAGAGCAAACCCCACAAUCACUUGCACUGAUGAUGUUACCUAGUCAGGUAAUGAAACAACUGCAAGCUAACAGUCAAGCUUAGAGAUACCAAGGACAGCACAGUUCAGUCCUGAGCUACAUACCGAUGGAGAAGAUCAGAGAAGGCACCUGUCAGAUAUAUUUGCUUUGAAGUGUUUGGUUAUUUGAAUUUCCUAAUUGUUCUUUAUAAACGGACUGGCCUCCAGGCUUCUAGGAAUAAGGAUUUACUCUCUAGACCUAUUGCCUUCUUUUCCCUGUCCUGGAUAUGGAAAUGACAGGAUUGGAUAUGAAAUCGAUUGUGCAUAUUGAAGGGGGCAAUCCGGACAUCUGCCCGGUAACGUUCACAAGACCAGAUGAAUGAUGGGAGUAGCAGCGUCUGCACCAUGGAGCACCAGAGCACUGCCAGCACCAUCCAAGUGGGAGCAGUGUCAUAGCGUAGGCUGAAGAAGCUGACCACCUAAAACAAGGAGAGAUAAGAGUUGGUGUGGGUAAAAUUCCACAGUUGGCUCCCUGUUCAUGACAGAACACUCCAGAGACUAUCAGAAAAUUUCUCAGACCGCUAAAACAGGAAUGAUACUCGUGUUCUUUUAACAUUCAGAGAACUGAUAGGCUUUGCAAAUGGAACAUUCUCAAAAAACCAAGCAGUCGAAUCGGUGAAAACACAGCUAAACAUAAACAGGUAUUGUGGGAAAUGCAACCACCUCAACACACUUUUAAAAUCAUUGUCUGCUUUCUACUCCAGCAUUACAAGGGAAGGGAAACGCUCACAAAUACUUUUUGGCAAACAGCUUCCUAAUGGCUAGUUCACUAUAUGCAGAAGCUGAAAUUGUAUGUCUGGAAAAUAAUUUCAGUAUGUGCUGGCUAUUGUCUUAUAACACAUUACAGCAUUAUUAUUUUUUAAAAGAAAAUGAUGCUAAUUACUGCUAUCAUCAAGUAAACAGCAAGAGCUGAUCAAGUGACAUCAGCAAAGGGCAGGAUACCGUUUUUUUUGGACUAUAAGACGCACCGGAGUAUAAGACACCACUGGAGUAUAAGUUGCAUCUUAGUUUUUGGGGAGGAAAAUAAGAAAAAAAUUGAUUGGAGGUGGAUCGGUCUCCCGGAAUACCCACAAACAGUUCUUCCCAGAGGUGAACUUUAGCAACAGGUUCGUUGGUUGUGAGCUCUGCACUUGCUUUUUCAGCCUCUCAAAGGGAGGUUUCAGAGCUUUUUUCAGCCUCUGAAACCUCCAUUUCAGAGACUGGGCAGGGCUACAUUCAGACUAUAAGACGCACCCAGAUUUUCACCCUCUUUUUGGGGGUAAAAAAGUGCAUCUUAUACUCCAAAAAAUACGGUAAUUGCCUUACAGAAAAGUCUAAUAGCUCAGUUACUCUGGUCAUACUCAGUUACUCUGGUUACUUUUUCUGCAUUCUUUCUUUACAAAAGAAGUCUGCAGUUUUCAUUUAUUCUGCUGGAUUUAAUAAUUAUCUCUAUGGAGAAAAUACUGUUUUCCCCAUAGCUUUUAAAUAGCAAUGUAUUGGUUGUUGCAAAAAUUAAACAAUUAUGUAUAAUUCUCUCAAAUGAUGUAUGGCACAUGAUUGCACAGAUGUUACAAGCACCAGAUAAUACUUGUGACCUCUACAGAUCAAUGCUAAAAAUAACCUCCAUGGAUAUCUAUACCCUAAAAAAUACUAUUGAUAUUUUAAAAAAACAUUUUAUAUUAUUCCAAAAUUCCAAUUAACAGUAGAUCCAUUUAGUAAUGUUUCCUGUCAAGUUUGCUGGCAUUUUUCUUUAAUUAUUGGCAACUCUGUUAGGCUGGAUGAGAAAAAAAAUUCAGUAAAUGUGAAUUGUGAAUGAAAAUUCAAGAAAUAAAUUGAAAUUGACAA